rnacentral:rRNA from 1 species
CCUACGGGUGGCUGCAGUGGGGAAUAUUGGGCAAUGGAGGAAACUCUGACCCAGCAACGCCGCGUGAAGGAUGAAGGUUUUCGGAUUGUAAACUUCUGUCGCGAGGGAUGAGGAAUGACGGUACCCGACCAAGAAGCCCCGGCUAACUACGUGCCAGCAGCCGCGGUAAUACGUAGGGGGCGAGCGUUAUCCGGAAUUACUGGGUGUAAAGGGAGCGUAGACGGCGAGGUAAGCCUGAAGUGGAAGCCCGCGGCCCAACCGCGGAACUGCUUUGGGAACUGUUUUGCUGGAGUAUGGGAGGGGUAAGCGGAAUUCCUGGUGUAGCGGUGAAAUGCGUAGAUAUCAGGAGGAACACCGGUGGCGAAGGCGGCUUACUGGACCAUAACUGACGUUGAGGCUCGAAAGCGUGGGGAGCGAACAGGAUUAGAUACCCCUGUAGUC